rnacentral:rRNA from 1 species
AGAGUUUGAUCCUGGCUCAGGAUGAACGCUAGCUACAGGCUUAACACAUGCAAGUCGCGGGGCAGCAUGUCGGUUGCUUGCAACCGAUGAUGGCGACCGGCGCACGGGUGAGUAACGCGUAUCCAACUUGCCCUUCACCACGGAAUAAUCCAGUGAAAAUUGGUCUAAUACCGUAUGAGGUCAUACGAUGGCAUCAGAAUAUGACGAAAGGUUUGGCGGUGAAGGAUGGGGAUGCGUCUGAUUAGCUUGUUGGUGAGGUAACGGCUCACCAAGGCGACGAUCAGUAGGGGUUCUGAGAGGAAGGUCCCCCACAUUGGAACUGAGACACGGUCCAAACUCCUACGGGAGGCAGCAGUGAGGAAUAUUGGUCAAUGGGCGAGAGCCUGAACCAGCCAAGUAGCGUGCAGGAUGACGGCCCUAUGGGUUGUAAACUGCUUUUAUAUGGGGAUAAAGUGAGCUACGUGCAGUUUAUUGCAGGUACCAUAUGAAUAAGGACCGGCUAAUUCCGUGCCAGCAGCCGCGGUAAUCCGGAAGGUCCAGGCGUUAUCCGGAUUUAUUGGGUUUAAAGGGAGCGUAGGCCGCCCCUUAAGCGUGUUGUGAAAUGCCGCGGCUCAACCGUGGCACUGCAGCGCGAACUGGGGGGCUUGAGUGCACGCAACGCAGGCGGAAUUCGUGGUGUAGCGGUGAAAUGCUUAGAUAUCACGAAGAACUCCGAUUGCGAAGGCAGCUUGCGGGAGUGCGACUGACGCUGAAGCUCGAAGGUGCGGGUAUCGAACAGGAUUAGAUACCCUGGUAGUCCGCACAGUAAACGAGGGAUGCCCGCUGUGUGCCUUAAUGGUACGCGGCCAAGGGAAAGCGUUAAGCAUCCCACCUGGGGAGUACGCCGGCAACGGUGAAACUCAAAGGAAUUGACGGGGGCCCGCACAAGCGGAGGAACAUGUGGUUUAAUUCGAUGAUACGCGAGGAACCUUACCCGGGCUUGAAUUGCAGAAGACGGAUCCAGAGAUGGUGACUCCCUUCGGGGCUUCUGUGAAGGUGCUGCAUGGUUGUCGUCAGCUCGUGCCGUGAGGUGUCGGCUUAAGUGCCAUAACGAGCGCAACCCCUGUCCUUAGUUGCCAUCAGGUAGAGCUGGGCACUCUGAGGAUACUGCCAGCGUAAGCUGCGAGGAAGGCGGGGAUGACGUCAAAUCAGCACGGCCCUUACAUCCGGGGCGACACACGUGUUACAAUGGCGUGGACAAAGGGAAGCCACCUGGCGACAGGGAGCGAAUCCCCAAACCACGUCUCAGUUCGGAUCGGAGUCUGCAACCCGACUCCGUGAAGCUGGAUUCGCUAGUAAUCGCGCAUCAGCCAUGGCGCGGUGAAUACGUUCCCGGGCCUUGCACACACCGCCCGUCAAG